UUUUAUGGAGAGUUUGAUCCUGGCUCAGGAUGAACGCUGGCGGCGUGCCUAAUACAUGCAAGUCGAGCGAACGGACGAGAAGCUUGCUUCUCUGAUGUUAGCGGCGGACGGGUGAGUAACACGUGGAUAACCUACCUAUAAGACUGGGAUAACUUCGGGAAACCGGAGCUAAUACCGGAUAAUAUUUUGAACCGCAUGGUUCAAAAGUGAAAGACGGUCUUGCUGUCACUUAUAGAUGGAUCCGCGCUGCAUUAGCUAGUUGGUAAGGUAACGGCUUACCAAGGCAACGAUGCAUAGCCGACCUGAGAGGGUGAUCGGCCACACUGGAACUGAGACACGGUCCAGACUCCUACGGGAGGCAGCAGUAGGGAAUCUUCCGCAAUGGGCGAAAGCCUGACGGAGCAACGCCGCGUGAGUGAUGAAGGUCUUCGGAUCGUAAAACUCUGUUAUUAGGGAAGAACAUAUGUGUAAGUAACUGUGCACAUCUUGACGGUACCUAAUCAGAAAGCCACGGCUAACUACGUGCCAGCAGCCGCGGUAAUACGUAGGUGGCAAGCGUUAUCCGGAAUUAUUGGGCGUAAAGCGCGCGUAGGCGGUUUUUUAAGUCUGAUGUGAAAGCCCACGGCUCAACCGUGGAGGGUCAUUGGAAACUGGAAAACUUGAGUGCAGAAGAGGAAAGUGGAAUUCCAUGUGUAGCGGUGAAAUGCGCAGAGAUAUGGAGGAACACCAGUGGCGAAGGCGACUUUCUGGUCUGUAACUGACGCUGAUGUGCGAAAGCGUGGGGAUCAAACAGGAUUAGAUACCCUGGUAGUCCACGCCGUAAACGAUGAGUGCUAAGUGUUAGGGGGUUUCCGCCCCUUAGUGCUGCAGCUAACGCAUUAAGCACUCCGCCUGGGGAGUACGACCGCAAGGUUGAAACUCAAAGGAAUUGACGGGGACCCGCACAAGCGGUGGAGCAUGUGGUUUAAUUCGAAGCAACGCGAAGAACCUUACCAAAUCUUGACAUCCUUUGACAACUCUAGAGAUAGAGCUUUCCCCUUCGGGGGACAAAGUGACAGGUGGUGCAUGGUUGUCGUCAGCUCGUGUCGUGAGAUGUUGGGUUAAGUCCCGCAACGAGCGCAACCCUUAAGCUUAGUUGCCAUCAUUAAGUUGGGCACUCUAAGUUGACUGCCGGUGACAAACCGGAGGAAGGUGGGGAUGACGUCAAAUCAUCAUGCCCCUUAUGAUUUGGGCUACACACGUGCUACAAUGGACAAUACAAAGGGCAGCGAAACCGCGAGGUCAAGCAAAUCCCAUAAAGUUGUUCUCAGUUCGGAUUGUAGUCUGCAACUCGACUACAUGAAGCUGGAAUCGCUAGUAAUCGUAGAUCAGCAUGCUACGGUGAAUACGUUCCCGGGUCUUGUACACACCGCCCGUCACACCACGAGAGUUUGUAACACCCGAAGCCGGUGGAGUAACCUUUUAGGAGCUAGCCGUCGAAGGUGGGACAAAUGAUUGGGGUGAAGUCGUAACAAGGUAGCCGUAUCGGAAGGUGCGGCUGGAUCACCUCCUUUCUAAGGAUA
rnacentral:rRNA from 1 species